GGGGGGGGAGCAGGAGGAGCGGCGGAGGUUGCCGAUCCCGGCUCGUGUUCUGAUCGCGUCACUGCAUGCACGGGACGAAUUCCACGGCGGUAAAGAUCUGUCACACCGUAUUUCUGAGAAUAUAUUUUACUCCUUGUCCCUUUGAUCUCUCUCUCUCUCUCUCAACAACUCUUUAGCCAAUUAACUUACACCUCCUGGCCACGCCUUGGAGGAUCCUUCGAUUCAUGCGUGUGAGAGUGAUUGAGAAUAGACGGUGACGUUGAGAAAAUAAUAAUGGUCACCUGAAGUUUAAUUAAUCAUUGAUGUUCAUUUUUGAAAAUGAUUUCAGUACCACAGCAUGGGUGAAAUGGUGCAGUUACAUUCUCCCCUCCGUUGUUGCUUCUACCUUGUUUCAUGUUUUUUUUCACCGUUUUCCCUGAACAAACUCAAAUUCUGCUGUCUGCAUCUUUAUCUUGUAGCAUUUCAUUCCUGUUUUCUCAGUCACUGCCUCAGUUUUCCUUCUGUCACUUUUAUUUCACCCCUUCAUCGGAAGACUUUCUCAUUACAAGGUUACAACCGUCUUCCAUGACUUAAGACUAUUCCAUGAAGAUGGUGUCUGCGUCGAGCCAUAGUGAAUACAGUUUGACCUCAGCCAUGUUUCCCUUCAACCUGAUGGAUGUUUGCAGCAUUGAGCAGCUGGUCUUCACUGCCAGCUGUGUCAGGAUAAGAAAAUCUACCGAAGCCAAAAGGCAGGUCCCUCUUUAACUCUGUCUGACUGAAGCAUCUAUUGAACAAAUGAAAAAUGCGGUUGUAUCAGUACCUUCAUCAUAUGUGCCCGUGCUGAAAUUGAUAAUUUCUGCAGUAUGCAGAUAGUGCUGUUUUUAUAUUGAUCUAUGUGUUGCAUGAAGUUUCCUCUUGCUUGUAGAAACUCAUUAGUCAAAUCACAAAUCAAAUACAUGUAAACCAUCUCUUUUCUUACUUCUUUCUAAAUGGGAAGACAAGUACAUGAUGUCAUUACUUUGUCUGAAUUAGAAAUUACAUCGUUUUUUGUCUUUACAAUUUGUAAUCAUAUUUUUUAAAACCUUCUUUUAACCCCUCCCCUUUCCUCCAGUAUUUUGUGUCUUCUUAGCACAAAAUGGAGGUGCCUCAUCUAGUUGUCCCUCUCCUGAGGUAUUGAAAGAAUCUGACCCUCUACCAGAAUCCUGCAAUUACCCUUAUGCCCCCCCCCCAGAUUUCCAUCAAGGCCCUCCCUCACUGCAUGGAAUGAUGGGAUAUCCCCACCCCACUGCAUCUGCAGGCCCCUGCAAACCCCUAACCUGGACCGCCUCUGAACUGGGCUCCCCCCC